GAGACGAGCGACACCGAGCUCUUCCGUCGGAGCGCUGGUGAGGGCGACGGAGAGGAUGGAGGGGAAGAAAGGGAUGAGAGAGGGAGGGAGAGAGAUGAGAAAGAAAGAGGGAGAAAGUAAAAAAAAGAGUAAAUGCGAGAGAGGAAGGAGAAAGACAGAUACAGAGCACAGGGAGACAGGAGCAAGAGUGAGUCUGGGAGGAGAGAGUUUUGAGCGAUAGCCAACACGCACCGUAGAUGAAAGCGGGACGCUGAGAAGCACCGGCGCUGUCAGAGCAUGUUCAGCCCUCAGGGACGGCCGGAGGGGGGGAGGGUGGCCGGCCGUCAGCAGCCCAGGAUCCAGCUGAGAGGUGUGUGACCAGCUUGGCAUCGGUUUAUCGGUCCCAGAAGUGACUGAGCGGAGAAGAAAAUCUGCUGUAUUCAAACUGCCCUCCAGUGGAGACAUCGUGUACCGCACCCACGCUGCUCUCUGUCCCAGCUCACCCUUAGCGUCCAGUCGGUGUGUGUCUUACUGUUGACCACCUCCACCACCACUGCAGUCGGUUAGCAGAGGACAUGUGUACGACGGAGAACAGCGGCUUGUUUCUCUCACUGAAGAUGAACUCCUUCCUCCGUGCCGCACCACAGUGCCGUGAGUGUGUGUGGGUGGGGAGGGUCAGCUGGUGUUGUGAAUCAG